CCUUAGGCAGAUUUUGACCUUUCAGAGUCUCAGCUUCCUCAUCUGAGACUCCUAGGGGGAGUCACACCUCGCCCCAGAGGUGUGGGGUAAAUGUGUUGUGCUGACGUGUGAACACGCAGGUGUGUCACGGAACAGAGAUGAAAGCUAAAAUGCUCCUUUUCUUUUCUUUUCCUUCCUUUCGUUCACUGAUCUCUUUGGCAAUCGCAUUCCACAAUUCUCAGUUCUUCACUCACCACUUAGGCUCCUUCUGUGCAAAAAGGACUUAGUGAAGUUAAAAGCAUAAAAAACUGUCAUUAAAAUGGAAGGAAAAUGAAAAAAACUACCAUAUUAUCUUCUUUAAAGCAAUACAAAAUAGACUAAAUAUUAAUGUAGUGCGGGGUCAAUCAUUUACUUUAAAACGGCUUUCUGAAAUUCAGUUGCUCUUUCUUUUAAUAAACAGUUGAAUUUCUAUAUUGAAAUUGUGAUGUGUGCAAAGGGAACAAUUCAUGCGAAUACUGGAGUUCGAGAGACAUCACCAUAUUCAUGAAAAUUUGGUGUCAAACAAACCCGAAGAAGUCAUCUACAUAAACCUGGCAAAUAAUUGUCAGGCUAUCUUUUCAUACUCACCAAUCACUCUACUUGGACCAACUUCAAGGGCUGAAAAGCUUUGUUUACGAUCCUGGUUCUAAUGACACCAAAUUAUCUAUAAAGUUUGGUAGCCACUAAACGUGGUUUUUGAGCACUUGAAAUGUGGCUAGUCCAAAUUAAGAAGUAAGUAUAAUAUACACAUUGAGUUUUGAAGAUGUAGAUUAAGAAAGAACAUAAAUUAUCUCUAAUUUUUAUAUUGGUACAGGUUAAAAUGGUUAUUUUUGAUAUACUGGGUAAAUAAAACGUAUCAUUAAAAUAGAUUUCAUAUUUCUUUAACGUUUUUAGUGUUGGCUACUGGUGUUUUAAAAGUUAGAAAUGUUCCUCACAUUGUAUUUUUGUUGAAUAGUGUUGCCCUAGCCAUUGGUCUCUCUUAAGCAUCAGACUUAGCCCAAAACCUGAAAUACAAUGUGUUAAUGAAUAUACUGAAUAAGUAAAUAUGUGUGUAAAACAAAAACUUCUGAUAAAUUAGAAUACAUCUCACAAGAAUUAUACAGGAAUUUUGUUAAAAUUUUCUUGAGA
rnacentral:lncRNA from 1 species